rnacentral:snRNA from 1 species
CUUGCUUGGGUAACAUGCAGUAUGGAGAAGAUUAGCAUGGCCCUGGGCCAGGAUGACAGGCAAAUUCAUGAAAGUGGUCUAGUAUUU